UUUUUUUUCCUUUCCUGUCCUAUACACUUUUCCUAGAUUUCCUCUUUUUCUCAUACCAACGAAAAUCCCAAUUUCUUUCCCUUCCCCAAUUUUUCAAUUUCACGCAAGGGUUCAAGUUCAUGCCGCCUCUACCAUCUCUCUGACUCAUCCUCUCAUCUCGGCUUGUCAUCUCAGGGCAACGAUGGUGUUCAAUUUCUCCCCUUCUCAAUCUCUGACCGUCUCUCCUUCUCAAAAGUCUCUCAAUUUCUGAUCAUCUCUCCUUCUCAGAAAUCUCAGAAGAAGACGAUGCUCUUGAGAAAUAAGAAGAUGGACAAGAAGAUUGGGAUGAUUGGAAUGCAGACGAAGAAAAAGGCGAAGAAUCAUUGGAUUUGAAUUUUCUGUGUCUAUUCUGCCAACUCAAAGUACACCGAAUGCAACAUGUUGUUCAACCAUUGCAAUUCUGUUCACUAAUUUCAAUUUCCACAGCAUUAAAAGUGAUCUGAGUUUAGAUUUUUAUGGUUCUUUCAAAAUUAUCAACUAUGAAACCAAUGCAAACUUCGAUGAAGUGGUGAUUGUUGCUAAAUAGCUUCAGGUAACUUUAUUUCUUACAUAUUUGGGUUUCUUUUUUAUUACUGUAUUUAGAUAUCAGCAUACUGAAUAUGAAAGUGGAACUCUAGGCCUCUAGCAAUAACCAUAUGCCAAUAAAUGUCUGUACUUCAUUGAGGUCAAUUAUAUGAUUAAGGAUAGUUGACAAAAGCUUAUGGGAGGAAGAUUCAAACUAUUUUCUUACCUAUGUGGAAGGUUUUCGUAAUCGUCACUUCAGGGAAAUUAUAUCAUUUACUUUUGCAACAGUUCAUAAGGGCACCAUAAGCCAAAUUUGGGUUUCUUGAAAAGGUAUAAUGCUACUACUCUUAUGCUAAAAUGAAAUUAAGUUGAAGCUUAAUAAUCUAUGGAUUAUAUUAUUAUGAGUUCCUCGUUGAAAUUGAUUGAUCUAUUCCUGAGUGAUUCUCAAAAUUUGUAGAAGUUGUGCUGUUGUGCUAUUGUGCUGGCUUACAGGUGGAUUAUGCAUCACACUUAUUUUGUUUCAGGUAAAAAGGUGAAUAUGAAAGAUGAAAAAGGGUCUCUAUUGUUUUGCACGAAUAUGAUCUACUAUAGUGAUGAAGCUAUCGACAAAAGACGUCUCUAUUCACUAUAAGAAGACGGGGGUCUACCGACGCAGAGAUGCAUCGGUAGAAGCCAGGACUGCGUCGAGACAGGCUACACCGAUGCAGAAAUGGACAUUAACAAGAACAUCGUGAGAGACGCAUCAUGAAAAGUACUUCUGAUAUACGAAUGAGACGAGGUCGAUAAAGGGUUACUGUGGAUGUACUGUUCGCUGACAUGGUGAACACGUCGGUGGUGGAGAAUUGUCAACGUCUAAUAAAGGCGUCGUAAAUGGGUUACUGCUGAUGUUGUCAAGUACGUCGGCAUAUAUGAACCAUCGACGCAGCGUCGGCAGAUCUUCUGACGACGCCGCAUUGGCAGACCUUCUAACGACGCCACAUCGGCAGACCUUCUGACAACACCACAUCGGCAGACCUUCUAACGACACCGCAUCGACAGAACGACCGUUUCUGAUGCAUAAUGUCCGUUAAGAAAUCCUUAUUAUAAUAUUUUUAAAUUUUUUUAUUUAAUUUAAUUUUUUUUCAAAUUGGAAUCGAAUUUGAUUUAAAUUCAUUCAAAUACUAAAAAAAAUUACCGUAAAUAUAAGAAAAUAUCAAAUGAAAUUUAUAUUAAAAAUAAUUCAAAAAUACACGUUUAUAGUUUAGAAAUUACAUAGAUAAUGAAAAGGAAAAAGUAAAAAGUAAAAACAGAAAACUAAACACAUAAUCUAAGCGUCGGUGUCCCAAGAAAGUUUUCCAUGCCUUCAAACCUACAAUAACACUAAAUUAAAUUUAAAUAUAUAUCUCCAAUAAUAUAAAAUUAAAGAAUGUAAAAGUUGAAAAUUUUGUACCUCAAUGAAAUCAAGGUCCUCUCGAAGUCUGGGAGAGGUAUUCAAUCAUUUUCCUCAUUUCUUCCAUUUGUGGAGCUUGUUCUUCCAUUUGGCAAGUCUAUGCUUCUAUCAAGCAAACACUUUCUUCAUGCUUCUUGUUACUUUCUUUUUCUACUACCUUGUUUUUCGCCUGUUAACCUCCCUGACGUUGGCCAGCUCUCGCUCGAUAGAUGUAGACGAAGAACUACCAGCAGCGUGUCGAGACUUUGGCUUGGAACCCCAAUCAAGACCUUUUACGUAGCUCGGUCGUCUACUCAAAAACAUCUUGCAUAUCUUAUCCUUGGAGAGUGGUUGAGAACACUCUAAGAUUGGCUGGGAUUGGAUUUCCAACAUUUGUGUAACGGCCCAACUCCUUAUACUAAGUCCAUUACUAAAUGUAAAUGACAGAAAUAAAGUUAUAAAGUUUGGCUAAAACUGACAACCUCAAAAUUUUAUUUAUUUAAAAACCAAAUCAGGGUAAUGUGUGAAAUGUAAACAAAUAUUAAAAUCCUACUCGGGCCCUAUCUACUUUUAAAGAAACGAAAUAAUAAAAAAAGAAUAAUAAAAAUUCAAAUACUAAAAGUUUAAACUGGGGUGUAAAGCGGAAGCAGAGAUCCCUAUGGCUCACCACGGUCACUUCUGGUCGCUCGCCAGCUUGUCCUUGCCCUUACCUCUGCCCUACUUGAAAAAUAUGAAAUGGAAAGAGUGAGUAUAAAAUACUCAAUAAGAGACCCACUACUAGUCCCCCUAGGUGUCCGUUAACUUCCUAUUAGAGUCCUGAAAAUGGUACCCAAGAACUGGCACGUUCCCGAACACGUGCAACAUGUGAUCCCGUAGGAACAAAAUCUGGUCUUCGGUGACCCGAAGGAACACCUAGGACAAUCUAGUCUGUAGCGUGCUUGGAGGAAGCGCUAAGAUAAUCGGGCUGCGAGGAUCUCGUCGAAUCGCUUGAAUCAUAUCUGUAUCUAUGCUAGACUGGCAGUCCCGUCGGACUACACAGUCCUAAGUAGGUGGUGUUCCCGAAGGGCACCCAUGCAGGUACGACUCUAAUAGGGUAAGCUAACAUGCACCUUAACCACAGCAUACAUAUAGCAUAGCACCAUCAUGUAAUCAUAUCACAGCUAAACAUCAUAUCACAUCUCAUUACAAUGUCCAAACAUCAAGUCAUAACAAGCCACGUCAUCACAUUAUACCAUGCCAUCAUAUCAAAUCACAUCAUCAGUCACAUCAUACCCUCAUUAAUUGACAUAUCGUUAUACAGUCUAGUUCUCAACGUGCAUAACUAGGAAUGCAUGCGGUUUCAUGAUUCUAGUCGUAGAGCUAGUAGUAGAAAUCUCUUACCUGGAGAUUUGCUCAGUCGAAUUCUAACAGUAAAAUCACACGCUUCCCAAGUCGCGAGUUCUAGAUUGUUAGGAACAACAAUUAAUAACCUAACCCUCACGGGACAAAGUCCAAGAAUUAUUUGAAGCAACUUACCCAAGAUCAAGGUUGCAAUAAAUUCCUUUAACUCGAGAAAUCCCACGCUCCAACUCCAAUUGGUCCAACCGGCCCUUUCAGAGAGAUAAUUUAUUUUAAUCCAAAAUUAAAUUUUUUAAAAAACCAAAAUUACUCUUCAUUGGGUAUGCCAAAAACCCAACCAACUUACCAAAAACUUCCCAACGAUAGGUGGGGAAAGGACCGAAAAAGGCUAGGUGGCUCAAAAGGGCUUGGCGACUCGGCUGAUAGGAAGGAAUCGGCUCGGCUUGGAGUUAGAAAUCGACUCGACUUGGAGGCAGGGGUCAGGUCAGCUUGCGGUAGAAGGCGCGGCUCGGCAGGGCGCUUGCAGCUCACGCGCGUGCGGCUCGAUGCGGAGAGGAGCGGCUCGGGUCGUGGAGAAGAGACGCGGGUCGGGCACGGGUGAGCGACUCAGGUUGCGAAGAAGAGACGCGGCGCAACUGGGCUUCGCGGGCUUCGAUGACCGGCGCGCGGCGUGCAAUGGCAUGGCUGAUCGAGCGGGGUGCGAUGCGGCUGAACUUGUGGCGGCGUUUGGCGGAAGAAUCGGGCUGGCGGCUGGAGAGAGGCGGGUCAGCUUCCGAUCCGCGAAGAGUGGCGACUGGAGGCGCGGGUUCGACGAACGACUCGCUCAGGAUGAUCGGCUGGGUAGGCGACGGACACCCGAUGGAAGGCUUAGGUGGACGGUUGCGCUCGAGACAACGGCGCGGCGACCAGCAGUGAGGGAAAAGGGUGGUGGCGGCAAUUUAGGGCUUGGGUUUUUUUUUUCCUUCUUGGUGAAGAUGAUGGUGGUGCAUUAAUUGCACAUCCCAAUGCUCAAUUUAAAUAAAAUAAGUCCUUUUAUUUUAUUUUAUUUGGCUUUAUUUUAUUACUUUAUUCUCUUUCCCCAAGAUCUUCACACUCUCUCUCUUUAAUUAAAAACACCAAAUCUCUCUUAACUUCAAAUCAAUAACUCUACCAAAUUCGUUUUCCAAUUUAAAUAAUUAUUAGCCUCAACUUAAAUAAUUAUGCAAAUAAAAAAUAUCACUAGUGAAGUUUCCUCAAAUAAAUUCAAAAUUCGAUAACUACACUAAGAUAAAAUUUUAAAUUUCAAAAUUUUGGGGUGUUACAAUUUGAUUCUGCAAAUAAUUUUUUUGUUAAUUAAGUAGAACAUAUAAACCAACUGUUGUGUGAAACAAGAAAAAUAACAACUUAUAUACUUACAUGCGCAUCUACAGCUGCCUACAAAACGAACUGGCCACCCCGAGCGUGUGUUUCUUUGAAUAACUUGAAACAUUCGAUCGAAUGACCCCGCUCUUCAACGAGCUCGUGUUGUCGUGGCUUGGAGCGUGUGUCUCACAUUAACAUGCCGACGUAUUGCUAAAGUGAACAGAGAGUGACAAGAUAGGCUUGUCCUGGCUUGGAGCGAUAGAUGUAGGGAUCUUUCCAUUUUGUACAACAUAUCUAUCCAACUCCAGGUAUCUGAAGUGUUGUCGUCUCCUAGGAAUGGGAGCAGAAGGUUGAGAGGCAUCUAGGAAGACAAAAUAAUUUCAUAAACAUAACAAAAAGACUUAUGCAUAAAUAAUUGUUUAUGUAAAAGUGACUAACCAGAUGUGUAACCAAUCGACGACGUGCCUGGAACAAUAUUGAACUCCUCGGCAUUAAAAUCGAAUAGAUCAUCGCUUUCAUCAAAAUCAGAGAAGUUAUACAUAGUACCUGUGGACAUAUAAACCAAAAUUAAUUAAACAUACGAGAGUUCGUGAAACUGAAUAUAUAUAAAAACGAAAAAAAAACUAUGAAUACGUGAUUCGUUAGUUAUUGUUCUUCGUCAUUGCUUGAUCUGCUUUGAAUGAAUAAUUUUUCAUCAUCAUUGUUUAUAAAGUCGUCAAUUUAUGAUUUAAAUUACAAAGAUAUUUACUUAUUCAAUCUAUAAAAUUUUAUACAUUCUACAAUAUACAUUAUUCCCUAACAUUGACAUACACUAUUUAUAUAGUCUACAAUAUACAUUAUUCCCUAACAUACACAUACAAAAUUUAUACAAUAUGCAAUAUACAAUUUAUAUAUACAAUCUAAUUUACAAAUACAAUAUACAAUUUAUACAUACAAUAUAUAAUUUAUACAUACAAUCUAAUAUAUAUUUUUUUAAAAUAAAAAAGAAAAAAUACACUAUUUUUACCGAUAAAGGCUUCAAACCAAAUAGACGACAACACGAGGAUGGUGAGCGAUGAACGGUGACAGUGACGGGAUAGCGGUAAUAGACGGCGGUGCAAAAGACCUUCCUCUUCUCUUUUUUCUUUCUUUCUCUUUUCUUCGUGUGCUUCUAUGUUCUGUGAAUCACAGAACUAAAAUGAUCUCCCAAUGUAACUCGAAAACAUCGGAAGAACCCCCACUUGCGACGUUGUCACUUAUGGCAUCAUCGGUGCGCUAAGAACUGCCUAUGCAAUCACUUAUGUCAUCGUGAGAACCUUGUCAAAAGUAGUCAAAACGUCAGAUAUCUUACAAUAUUACCUAUCCUAUGUUGGCAGAAGUUCAACCUUUCAUGACGUCAUGUAAUCUGGUAUCGUGAUAUGGUUGCAGAAUAUUUUAAAUGUUCAAUAUUUUCCGACGCAAUCAAAGCAACGUCGGCAAAAGGUCGACUGCCACGAUGUCUUGCAUGCAACAUCAACAGUUAUUGAACGACGACGACAUGUACAUGCAUGUCGUUACGAAAAGUCUAAAUUAUUAUUUAAAUUAAACGUUUUCACGAUCUCUCCUCACUUGGCAUCGUGGAAGCCUCACCUUUUGUCGACGUUAUUUGUGUGACGUUGCCAGAGCUCCACACUACUGAUGCCUUCUGCACAACGUCGCGAAAAAGUUUUUCUUACAACGUCCCUUUUGCCAACACCUGUUUCGAUGUCGGCAAACCUCCAAUUUUUUGUAGUGGUUUAUUCUUUCAUUGUAAACCAUUUACCAAAAAUGGUUAUUAGUCCAUCCUUUUGUACAAAUAUUAUAAAUUGUAUGAUAACGUAUAUAUAUUAAAGUGUUGAUUAUUUGUUUC